rnacentral:tRNA from 1 species
GCGGGUUUGACAAGGUCUUGAUGUGCUGAAUAGUCAUUGGCAGUUUGGAAAUCGAAAAAUUCCUUUGCGCGGAUUCUAAGAGUCUGGGCCA